rnacentral:tRNA from 1 species
GGGAGCUUAGCUCAGUUGGUAGAGCGCUGCUUUUGCACGGCAGAUGCCAGCGGUUCGAAUCCGCUAGCUUCCA